AUGUACAGAGUUGUGAUUGAUGUUGGACAUGUGGUGAACAACAAGACACUAUGGAAACUAAAAGUGAUGUUAAAAAUCAAGAUCUUUAUGUGGUAUUUAAUCAAGGGAGUUGUGUUGACUAAAGAUAAUAUAACUAAACAAAACUUGGAAUGGCAUUUAAAAUGUAGUUUAUGCAGUAACUUAGAAACUAUUCAUCACUUCUUUCUUGACUGUUGCUAUGCUAGAUUCAUUUGUAGACUUACUUACUUCAAGUUUGGCAUAAAACCUCCUAGAAAUGUCAAUCAUAUGUUUGGAUCUUGGCUUAAUGGCUUUGACAUGAGACUAAAAAAAUCACAUCUUAGUAGGUGCAUCAACUAUGUUUUGGGCUAUCUGUCUAACUCGUAA
rnacentral:rRNA from 1 species